rnacentral:lncRNA from 1 species
GGUUUUCUGGGCUUCAUCUGGGUUGGUUACAAAGCCGUUAAACCGCUCGCUCUGGUGCAACAAAAAGGGGGGAUUGUGUGAGCUUUAUAGAGAGAGAUUGCUGAGAGAAUUGAACAGAAAUUUCCGCCCACUGUGGUAGUUAUUUAAAAACACCAAAAAUUAGCUGAACCACGCAAAUCGAUUUGUCCUCCGUUUUUCUUUUGAUUCGUUGAUUCUAUUCAUCUCUUAAUUGCUUUCUGUUCUUCAUCAUCAUCAUCGUUUGCAUUUCAUAUCAAUUAAGCUUCAAAUCAGUUUGAUCUUGGAAGCAUCUUGGCAGAUUUGGUUUGUGAUCUUGGGCAGCAACUGAUCACUUCAGUUGCCACACUGCAUCCACCAGAGUUUAAAGUGAGCGGAGCAUCUGCAUAUACUAGAAAAAAAAAUAAUGAAUAAAUAAAAUAACGUAAGGUCAAAGAACCGAAGCCAGAGAUCUCCCAAUAUUCACUCUUCACUCGGGCCUAAGCCAGCGAUGCCACCACUCCAACAAAGUCACUGGGCCUCCGUCGAUAACCAACUUCUUCAAGGAACCGGUUAGUUACAUUGUUUACUUUAAUUUCUCUUUUAUUCCAUCCAUGAGCUUCUGAUCCUUCAACCAUGCAGAUGAUUUUUCUCUUCCCCAAAAAAAAAAAAGAAAGAGGUCUUUUUAAGUAUAAUCUUGAAAUCCCAUUAUUUUAAAACAAACAAUUUAGUGUAAAGUCUCUGAUUAGUGCUUUAAUGCUUUGAUUUGAUGCUUGUUAUGUUUGGUCAAUUUUAGGAGUUAAUUUGGGUGUUCUUCUUAGUAGCUACUCUGUUUUGCUCUGUUUCUUGAUUCAUGUUAUUUUAAGAGUAGCUUUUUAUUAGGGUAUGAGCUUCAUGUUAACUUUUCUAUUUAAAUUAUUCCCUAAAUACGUAGAUUCACUACAGGCUUUAUGGCACUCAAAUUGCUCUUACAUGCAGGAAGUGAUGAGUUUUCAAUUGAAGAGAAUCAAAUGGAUGAGUUUUCUGGAUUCCAUCUGUUUGAGCAAAUAAGAACGUUGUUUCGACGAAGGAGACUGAAUCAUUCAAUCAAUCAUCUCUGUUUAAAUUUGAUAAAAAAGAGAUUGGUACCAAUUCAAAGUACAAAAAUCUAACGACUAUGAAAAUAUAAGGUAACAAUAAUAAAAGUUGUGAGAAGUUAGGAAAGCUUGUCAGCCAACUUAUUCUUGUCCAAUUCAAGAAGUUUUAAAACUAGUCUGGAUGAUACACGGAGUAUUUCUUUCUUUCCUAUUUUUCUCCCCCUUUAUUGGAUGUAUUAUGAAUUUAUGAAUUCCAUCGACAUUAGCAAGUAAGAUAUAAGUUGUUCAAAAAUCAGUUCAUG